ensembl:lncRNA
AGCGCCUGAUCAGGCGGGAGCCAAUCAGCAGCCCCCAAGCUUGUCUGACUCCGUCUGCGCCAAUCAGGAGGUGCUAUCCUUAUAACCUCUCUCUCUUUGAAUCACACAGGGCGGUUGUCGCCUGUUUUGGGGAGGGGAGCCUGACUCAAGAGUUCAGGCUUUCUCUAGACCUCAGUUUGCCAUUCACUGGAAUGGGGAAAAUACUGAAACAACACUCAGCUGGGGAGACAGCUGCACAUAGAAUUCUAGGAGAGUGUUAUAAACGAAUGGAGAACACGGUGUCUUCCUUCCCAGCACAGAUCCUGUGCCUCUGUGCUUCGAAAAAUUGUAUUGAGAGAGUUUCUCUUCCCUCACUGCCACCCCCUCUCUGACUCAGGAUUAUCAAUAUGGGCUCUUCAUCCAUGAUUGUCUUGCAGGCGGUGCGACGUUGCUGACCACAACAGGCCAGUAGGCAGAGCUAACUUUUAUUCUCACCAACAAUAGUGCAAACACCUGUCAGUAAAAGGCAAAGAGCAAAGGAUCAGCAAAACAGGCUGAAGACUGGAUAGUCACAGGGUAGAGCAGAAGCAAGAACGUGUUUGGGAGUGUUCAGGGCUGAUGUAACCGGAACAUGCAGGACUUGGAGUGCAACGUGGCGAGAGGCCUUGAAAGCCAGCCUGGAGCGUUUAAACAUGCUUCGAAAAAGCUAUUGUUGCAGUGAGUUAGUUGCCACAAAAAUCAGGAGGAAACACACAGGAAUUCACUCAUCUUACUUGGUGAUGGAGGACCAGCACACAAGACCUACAGUAAUGUCUCCAAACUUCAAGCCUCUUCACUAAUAAGCAUGGUGCAACUUCAGAGGACUGAGAAGAAAAGAACCAUUGUCAGUGUACAAAGCAGAGAACACAUCUCCAUCGAGACCAUUCCAUAACAGCAUAUGGCACCAAUUUCACCAGUGCUCUUGUUUCAAAGAAUGCCUUUCCCUUUCUCGGUGUAAUGUUCCAUAUGUGUUUUUAUAAGAGGCUUUUAUGAAAAUGCUUGGAUCUUACAAGAAUCUGUAAGUUCAAAUGAGAAUUGAAAUAGCUGAAGGACACAGAUCCUAGAAAAGACCCUCAAUUUGACUGAUUCAUCUGUAUUUUAGCCUAAACUCCACACAGAGCAGAUUACAGGCACAAGGUCUGAGGUUCCAACAACCCAGAGGAAGGUUGAAUGGAUAACCGUGAAAGCACACUUCAGUGAGAAGUUAUUAAGACUAAAAGUGAGUUUUAGGGGUGAAUCUAUUCAAAGUUGAGAUGGGAGAAAAGAUAAACAGAACUUUUAAACUAUCUGUUUAAAAGGAAUCUUUAAGCUAGCUGGUAUUCAAGAAUGUGGCAUAAUUUUAUUUACAAUAGCCAAGACAUGGAAGCGACCUAAAUGUCAAUCAACAGAUACAUGGUUAAAGAAAGAUGUGGUAC